UCAACUCAUCGGCUAGCAAUGAGGCGUUGGCUAGUAGAGCUAUUUGUUGCGCUUCCGUCUCGGCUAGGCGUACGAUCUUCGUUGCCGAUCCUUCUAGAUUCAUCUCGUUUUCGACUGAACUUGGGAGAGCUGUUAUGAGUAAAUUGAGGUACGAGUUGAAUACUUGAAGAACUCCUUCCAAGGUUAGUGCAUCUAAUUGUAGGCUUUCAAGUGAUCCCAUAUCUUCUACAAAUUCCUGAAAUCAUAUAUAUCAUUCAUUCUUCAACUUCAACAUUCAAUGUACUUCAUUCUACUACCUUGUGAAUCUCAGAUAAGAUCGAUUUGGAUCGGAUUUUUGUAAAAAGAAAAACAAGAUUUCAAAUCAUAACGGUUCUCAAAUUUCGACUUAGAAAACAAUUUUUUGAGAACAUGGUCAAUCACGUGGCCACCUACCUAGAAAUUUAAAUUAAGUUUUCUUGUAGGUCUGGCGCGGACACUGAUGUAAAGGAAAAACAUCCAACUAAUUGAUACCACAUUGAAACAUAGAAACUAUAGAUUUUAUGUCAACUUCUCCCAGGAAUCUUAGUAUGCAAGCUUAAGAAAGCCAUUUACGAAUCUAUAUACUUCGAUUGACUAAAGUAGGCAUCGAGAGUUAAGAAUUCUUAAAGAAAUCUAGCCUUGUCCGUCUUCUAUGUGGUACACAAGAAACUUAAGAUAGAAAGGAUGAUCUCAAGGAACCAUAGGAGAGGUUCUGAAGCUUAGGAGAGGAGAAAGUUUCACUUUUGUUAGAUUGUGUGGCAACGUGAUCCAACGUCAAACUGAAUCUUACAUUUUGUGUACAUCCAAACACACAAAUUCAUUCCAAAUCGUAAGAGAUUUAAAAAAUUUGCCAAGGACUAUUAAAUUGGUAGUUUUAAAAAGCUUAUGAAAUGUCAUGGAUUACUUCAACUUUUUGAAAGAUAGAAUUGUUCGUUUAAACAAAUGACAAAGUUUUAGUGUGUGUUUUUUUUUCUUUUUUAAUUUAACCAAAAGGCAAAAACAUACUAAAUUAAGUUUUCCCCUUGACUUGUAGAUGAGUAUCGAACAAAAAGUGGCAUGAACGCAAGAUCAUUACCUGAACCAUUGUAUUAAAUCUAUGUGCACUUCUUGAAAGCUUUGGCUGUGACACAACAGAAGCGAGCGAAGAAGUCGAAGAUGUUCUUGGAAAAAGUCUAGAAGCAACAGGUGAAUAAGCAAGCAACCAAUCAUCUGCUGCAGCUAAAGCAGCACUGCUCUGUUCAAUUCUCCUCAAAUUAGCUGUUAUGGCAUUCUCAAUAAAUGGCCUAAAAUGCCUAUACAACACUGGCGUAAGUGCCAACCCACGAGCUUCCAAAAGCGAGCAAUGCCCCAUACUUAUUUGUACACUCUCAGCUGCAAUCCUCAAACUCCCCACAGCUGCCGAUGAACCUAUCACAUACCGCUUCAAAAACACAGCAAAACCAUCCGUUUGUCUCACAGACCAAGUCACCAACUCUGAUGCAUAAGCUGGCUCUUCCCCGAACACAGCCAACGAAUCAUUUGCCGCUUGAGCAAUCGUUGAGAACACAAACUGCGAUAUCGCUGCUGUGUAUACCCCUCCCCCUGAGUUGCUUGAUGUCCUAAAACUAUGCAAGCUUCGCUGCAGUUUCUGUUGGUGGGAACUCAGCAGCAACAUGUGUGCACGUGAACCAUCCCCGAGCUUUUUCAAAGCUUGAGCAGCAGAGCGAAGGUCCACGCCUCGUGUGGAAGGUUGGGAAAUUGUUUGCUCAAGGAGAGAAGCUAGUUUUUGUCUUUGGUUUCGAAUGGCAGUUUGUAAUGUGGAGAGUGCAGAAGCACUCAAUGCCUUGCGACAAUUAGAAUCUUGAGCUAUUUGUUCGCCUUUGGCUAAAGCUGCAAGAGCUUCGUCCAUUCGUUUCUCAACCAAGAGAACUUCAAGGUUGUCUAAAAACUCCACCAACCAUUCAUCUGUGGUGGGGAGUUCACGUGUUUCGUUGGAAGAAUGGUCUUGAAUUGAAUCUUCAAUAUCUCGAGAAAGAGAUUCAAUGCUUGCUCCUUCAACUAAACCAUGAAUAAGAGCUGCUUGAGUGGAUAAAUGAUUUCUUAGUAAAAGAAGUUCGCCUUCAAGAUCUGUAAUCUCUCGAGAUGUACUGAUGAU
rnacentral:lncRNA from 1 species